GAACGUUGAGGUCCGUGUUGUAGUUUUAGCUUUUUUUGUAAAUCUACAUGUGAGUUGAUGUACGAGUAGUGAUAAUUAAAAUAAAAUUUAAAAGGAAAUUCUCAGUAGAAAGUUUUGGAAAUAUAGGAAAGUUCUAUCCAGAUAAUAAUUUAGAGGUGGAAAAUGGCGUGCCAGCAGCCGCGGUUAUACUUCAGCCUCAAGCUAAAAUUUAUUUACAAAAUUGUGUUUGAUACAAGGAUUGUACUCAUGUAAAAAUUGACUGUUCUUACUUAGAUUGUAGGGUAGAAUCUUAAUUUGAGGUAGAGAUAGUCAUAAGUCAGGCAUAGGAAUUAUUUUUUGGACCAGGAUUAGAUACCCUGUUACUUUUAAUAAAAAAAUUUUGGAGUAGUAUUAUUAAUGAAAUUUAACGGAUUUGGCGGCAAGAUAGCCCCUUAGAGGAACCUGCCCUGUAAACGAUGAGCCACGAGGUACUCUACUUUUUUUGGUAAUCAGUUUGUAUAUCGCUGUUGUCAGUUAGAUUCUUGAGAAUAUUUUCGUUCAUGAUAAGUUCAUUGACUUCAAGUAAAGGUGCAGCUUAUAAAAAAGAUAGAGGUGGGUUACAUUUAUAAGAAUAAAACGGAAAGGAUAGUUGAAAUAGUCCUUGAAGGUGGAUUUAACUGUAAAACUUAAAUAGGUUUGGUGAGAGCUCUAUCUUGUGUACACACCGCCCGUCGCUCUCUUUUCAAAACGAGAUAAGUCGUAACAAGGUAAGUGUAAUGGAAAUUGUACUUGA
rnacentral:ncRNA from 1 species